CCCAGCGGAAGGAGCGACCCCACAGGCGCGGAGCGGGGCCACAGCCACUUCAGCAGGAGAAUGUGCUUCCCAGGCCCCUGCGCCCGGGUGCCCGUGGGAUGUGGGCAGCUGAGGGAUGCCCCCUCCGGGCCCGGCCGAGGAGCUUCCCUCCGCCAUCGGCUAGUGGAGGCCGCCCCCCCGGCAGCCUGGGACCCCGAGGAGACUGGACGCGGCCCGAGCCGCCUGAGCCGACAAGACGGGUCAGAUCAAGUCGUCCUCCCUCAAACCCUCCAAGAGCUUCCCACCUCGGCUUCAGCGGCGACCCCCACCAUCCUCAAGGUCCUGGGGACCAGCGGGCUCCGGUCACCUCUGACUCCCUUCCUGCCCAGGACUGCCCUCCCUCUGGGUGCCCGCAGGCUUUCAACUCAGACCCUGGAGCUCUGGCCACAGGAUUCACGCGGCCACCCUCCUCCGGCCCUGGGCCUCGCUUCCCGGUUCCCUGUCUGCACAGGCUCAUCGCCGAGAUUGUCUGUCUGCACACCGCCCGCAGUCCCGCUGUCCGCUGAGCCUCCUGCUGUCCUCACACCCCGCACGACCAGCGCAACAGGAGUGCAGCCCGAUGGAAGCCGUUAGCAAGAAGCCGUCUAAACCAGAAGCCAGCUGCUGGCCCUUCGGAGCACGGAGCUCCGUCCCGGUGGCCGAAAGGCAGGGAGUGGGCAGGGGGCUGAGCCAAGGCACCUGUUUUUAGGAGAUGACGGGCCGGGUGGCGAGUGCCCCAGGCCACGCCCCGCUCUACAUCGGAGAACGAUAUUCUACCAGGGUCCACCGGGACACAGGGGGGCCAAGGACAACCCAUAGACUCGGCUCCAGGAAGCUUCUGGGCCAGAGGAGACGGCUCCACGGUAAAAAAUGAGGAAAUAGGAUAAUUCAGACAAGAGAACUCAGGUCUACCCUCCCGCUUGGAACAACCAAGAACCCCACGAGAGAUGAGAUACAUCAAACACCAGAGAAGGAAGGACAGCUGUCCCCGAGAGGUGGGGGACGGAGGAGGUGGUUCUGAGAUGCCCCAGCCGACUUCCAGAAGGUCCACGAGUCGCCGAGUGGGGAGGGGACCUGCGGAGACCCAAGGGCACGCUGGCCUGAGACGUGUCUGCAGACCUUUACGAUGAAAUGCAGGACGUCCUCAGACAUGGCGCCCUCGGAGCUGUGUGACCCGUGUCUCCUCCGGAAAACACCGCCGAUGCGUGCUAGCAGGGUGCGUUCUGGGCAGCGGCUUAGAAUUUGGUUCCGGAGUGUUCGUGCUCAGAGGGGUCCUCGGGGAGGGUCCUGCCAAGGGCAGGGCUGGAGCCCAUCUUCCUCACUCCUGCCCUGCUGCCUAGGUCCUCCGCUCCCAGGAGCAAAGACGGCCACUCGUAGGAGAGGCCGGGGGACAUUGGGUGAGCAGAGCCCCCCGUCAGGACGCAUGUGGGUGCAUGUGAGGGCGAGGAGGGUGAGGAGGAGGGAGGCCCGUGGAAACAACGCGGGGGUGAAGCCACGCUUCUCUCUUCUCCAUCCACACCGUGUCAGCCCGACUGCCCUCAGUGGGGCAGGAAAGUGCACCUGUCGGGACCGUCCCAGAGCGUCCUCCUGACCCCUGGUGUCCUGAGCCCCUGGGAGGUGCGGCGGAGGUGAGCGUGGAGGCAGGCCAGCAGGCGGCACGCUUGGCCACAGAGCUGAGACCCCGCCGGAGGAGAGUCCCGGGGGCCGAGGGCGGUGCCAGGAGGCCCAGCUUCCCGGGACGAGCUGCGAGGGCAGGAGCAGCGCUGCCACACCAGGGGCGUGCCCGGAGGCCCCCGCUCCACGGCGGUUCAGAGGCCAGCCCCUUCUUAGCCCGACGCCGUCGACCCCAGGGCUCUGUUGGUUUUCCGAACGGGAGCUGCUGUGAUGGGGAGAGUAUUUUUAGGCCCUCGGUGGCUUGGGCGGGAUUAGCACAAGCAGGCACGGAAGCCCACACUGUGCACUGCCGCUCGUGCUGGGCUCCCACAGGCUCAGCGGUCGGUGAAAGAGAGCCCUCUCCAACCCGGACUUGAGUCAUCAGCUGUUAUCUCUGGGCUCCUUCGGCGGCCGGGAUCUCAAAUUAGCCACGAGAGAAACAAAACGGAAAACCAUUUCUUUAUUGCCCAGAGGAAGACAGGACACCAAAGCUGACACGCAGGGCAGGGCCGGCUCCGUUUGCCGACGUUUAUCUCUCUUCCUGCACCUUUCCGCUUCUGUUCGUGGGAGCCCAGAGCUGCCCGCCUCAGAAUGGAAGGAAACACGGGACAAAUGGGCAGUCUUGGCAGAGCGGGGCCAUCGGCUGCUCCAAAAAUCCUGAAACAAAAAUGGUUUUCCCAUAAACCAUUUACUUGUUGGAGAUGCAAAUCAGAGAUAUUUUUAGGACAUAUUAAUAAGCCAAGCACUAGUUUGCACAUUGCCGCUUGCUUCUUCCCUCCCCCCACCCAAAGCCACCCGAGUGUCUCCUUCCUUUUAACAUUCUUUUUUAGAAUAAUGACUAGGAGGGGCGCCUGGAGGCUCAGUUGGUUGAGCGUCCGACUUCGGCUCAGGUCACGAUCUCACGGUCUGUGAGUUCGAGCCCCGCGUCGGGCUCUGUGCUGACAGCUCGGAGCCUGGAGCCUGCUUCAGGUUUUGUGUCUCCCUCUCUCCCUGCCCCUCCCCUGUUCAUGCUCUGUCUCCCUCUGUCUCAAAAAUAAAU
ensembl:lncRNA